GACAAUAUUUUGAGCAACAAAAUUCACCACAAACAAUGGAUCCGAUCGAGUCUUGAAGGCGACGUAUCGAUGGUAUCAAACAUCGAUGUUAAAAUCAUCGAUGUUAACUAUCGAUGUUAACUUUGUGCGACUUUCAAGAUGGGUGUCCAUUUCAAGAGUGACCAACAAAUCAAUAUAUGUAUGAUAAUAAAAAAAACGAUAUUCCGAAAAAUAGUAAAAAACAUAUUCCAUGAAAAAACCAUUUUUUUUGUGGAGUAAUAUCAAUACAUUGAUAUUUUCAUAAAUUUUCAACUUCCCUGAAAUUAAGAUCGGAUUCCCAAAAAAAAUAGUUCAAACAGAUAACCAGACAAACAGAGGGACAAACUGAGAAGUGCAAUAUAUAGCAUAUUUUCGUCACCAAAAUCGAUAUCAUAUAGUUUGGGUUUCGCAUGCAGGGAUCGUUGCAAAAAAUAAUGAAGGUUCAUAAUGAUGCUUAUGGCUUAAAUAACUCCUUACUGGAAUAUAAAAACAAAUCUAACAAUUUUUGUGCAUUUUGCCAAACAAGAUAUUUCCCAACAUUAGAAGGGAGUUGAUCCUAUAAAUAUAUAUUUAAAUGUAUUUAUGAAUAUAUUCAUAGAAAAGCG